UUUUUUUGACAUGCCUUCAAUUUAUUUAUGAUCUCUUCGCCUUAUUCAACAAUUGCUGGUAAGAUACUCAGGGCACAGUUUAUAAUUUGGGACCAUCUACCACUUGUUACUGUUGACCUUUUCUUUCAUAUUGUCAUCAUUAUAACACACUUUGGCUGUUGUCAAGUUCUGCCUAGUCUUAUAGCCCCUGAAGCUGGAUUGGAUUUUGACAGCUGCGUUAUGAUGGCGCUUUAAUGUUUGCCUUACUUGGAAACCCCUCCAGUGUGAUUGGAUUGCUGUGGCUGCACAUAAUUGUCGAGUCUUGAAUAUCAUCUCAUCAUUAACAGAUUCCGGAUAAGAUCUCAUAAUUUCCUCCUUCACAGGUAUACUUUGGCUCAAUGUAUUAUGCUUAUAGAUAUUGUUUGCACAGGUACAAUCAUGGUGAGGCUCAUGGUCUGAAUGUUUUGUGAAAUGAAUACAUGUUCCACAGUUGCUUUGUUUUUCUUUUGCACAACUCUUACAUCCACAGUAUACGCAAACAUGGCACCUUGGGCAAAAAAGAUGUCUUUGCUUUUUAGAUAUGACCUUAACCUUCUCUCUGAGUAUUUCUGGAGAAAUGUCAAAACCACACAAGCACUCAUUUUCUAGAUUGUCUGUUUUUAGAUCAAAUAGUAAAAUGGGUACUUUAUAUCCAGGUCUGUGAACAUUUUGGUCAUCAAGAAAUAAUUUCAUUUUGUAGUAUUUAUCUGUUUCGGUGCCUUCUCUAGAAUAAGAUGAUUCAUCAACUGAACACGCAUGGACACUCUUAACUCCUGUUGUUUCAAGCACAUAAUCUUGAGUUUUCUCAGAAUGAAUGCAAAGUUUGGUAUUGUGUAUUUGGGAAUUAGACAACACAGAUGAUGGGAAUUUAUUAAUGCCACACCCCCCAUCAGGUGAUAUGCAUCUAUUUCCAGAAUGGACUAUCUGGAAGUGUUUACCGUGUGAGUGGCCAGUUUUAGUAGACUCGCAGGAAACAGCUAUCAUUGAACACUGAGGGGAUAUUUCUCUAGAGCUUGAAUUGUCACUAGAAGAUACAGAAUCAAAAGGUGUUUGAGCAUGUCUUCUGGUAAAAUCCUUGUUUUUGUUGGAUUGUUCUAAAUGUGAUGUUUUUUUAAUCUGUAAAGAUUGGCGGGUCCUGUAACCUCUAUAAUGGGAUUGAAUAACAAUGGCAGAUUGGUUUAAUAGUGUUGUCUCUAAAGUAGUAUGUUCAUUAGGCAUUUUCCUUUUGAUAAUUUUUCUGGUUUUAUAGCCCUUAUAGCUAGCUUGUAUAAUAGUAGCUGCCUGGUUUUGAAUGGCUUUGGUUUUCGGUGGAAUGUCGGGUUUCCACUUAGUUUUAAUGAUAAGAGUUGCUUCAUAUUUCUGGGAUCCCCGUCUCCUUGUCCUAUAACUACGCCACAUUGUCUGGAUGACUUUUGCCGCCUCAUUUUCUUCAUUUUUAAAUUCUUCAUCACAUAAGUAAGUUUCACGAUCUACUUUUAAGUUACUGCUGGUGAAGUGGUCUGACUUGUGGGAUUCCGUUGUUGUGCAACUAUGUAUUGUGAAAUCUUCU
rnacentral:lncRNA from 1 species